UGGGGUGUAGCUCAGUUUGGCUAGAGCGCUUGAUUUGGGAUCAAGAGGUCGCAGGUUCAAGUCCUGUUACCCCAACCA
rnacentral:tRNA from 1 species